AGACCCGAAACCCGGUGAUCUAGCCAUGGGCAGGUUGAAGGUUGGGUAACACUAACUGGAGGACCGAACCGACUAAUGUUGAAAAAUUAGCGGAUGACCUGUGGCUGGGGGUGAAAGGCCAAUCAAACCGGGAGAUAGCUGGUUCUCCCCGAAAGCUAUUUAGGUAGCGCCUCGUGAAUUCAUCUCCGGGGGUAGAGCACUGUUUCGGCUAGGGGGCCAUCCCGGCUUACCAACCCGAUGCAAACUGCGAAUACCGGAGAAUGUUAUCACGGGAGACACACGGCGGGUGCUAACGUCCGUCGUGAAGAGGGAAACAACCCAGACCGCCAGCUAAGGUCCCAAAGUCAUGGUUAAGUGGGAAACGAUGUGGGAAGGCCCAGACAGCCAGGAUGUUGGCUUAGAAGCAGCCAUCAUUUAAAGAAAGCGUAAUAGCUCACUGGUCGAGUCGGCCUGCGCGGAAGAUGUAACGGGGCUAAACCAUGCACCGAAGCUGCGGCAGCGAACGUAUCACCCAAGACAACUUUACGGAGUUGACGAUUGACGGAGCGAAGCGACGUCAAAGCGUUCAUUAAAGUCGAGUUGGCUUAGGGAUACGUUCGUUGGGUAGGGGAGCGUUCUGUAAGCCUGUGAAGGUGUGUCGUGAGGCAUGCUGGAGGUAUCAGAAGUGCGAAUGCUGACAUAAGUAACGAUAAAGCGGGUGAAAAGCCCGCUCGCCGGAAGACCAAGGGUUCCUGUCCAACGUUAAUCGGGGCAGGGUGAGUCGACCCCUAAGGCGAGGCCGAAAGGCGUAGUCGAUGGGAAACGGGUUAAUAUUCCCGUACUUGGUGUUACUGCGAAGGGGGGACGGAGAAGGCUAUGUUGGCCGGGCGACGGUUGUCCCGGUUUAAGGGUGUAGGUGUGUGUUCCAGGUAAAUCCGGUUCACUUUAACACUGAGGCGUGACGACGAGGCACUACGGUGCUGAAGCAACAAAUGCCCUGCUUCCAGGAAAAGCCUCUAAGCAUCAGGUAACACGAAAUCGUACCCCAAACCGACACAGGUGGUCAGGUAGAGAAUACCAAGGCGCUUGAGAGAACUCGGGUGAAGGAACUAGGCAAAAUGGUGCCGUAACUUCGGGAGAAGGCACGCUGACACGUAGGUGAAGUGAUUUACUCAUGGAGCUGAAGUCAGUCGAAGAUACCAGCUGGCUGCAACUGUUUAUUAAAAACACAGCACUGUGCAAACACGAGAGUGGACGUAUACGGUGUGACGCCUGCCCGGUGCCGGAAGGUUAAUUGAUGGGGUCAGCGUAAGCGAAGCUCCUGAUCGAAGCCCCGGUAAACGGCGGCCGUAACUAUAACGGUCCUAAGGUAGCGAAAUUCCUUGUCGGGUAAGUUCCGACCUGCACGAAUGGCGUAAUGAUGGCCAGGCUGUCUCCACCCGAGACUCAGUGAAAUUGAACUCGCUGUGAAGAUGCAGUGUACCCGCGGCAAGACGGAAAGACCCCGUGAACCUUUACUAUAGCUUGACACUGAACAUUGAGCCUUGAUGUGUAGGAUAGGUGGGAGGCUUUGAAGUGUGGACGCCAGUCUGCAUGGAGCCGACCUUGAAAUACCACCCUUUAAUGUUUGAUGUUCUAACGUGGACCCGUAAUCCGGGUUGCGGACAGUGUCUGGUGGGUAGUUUGACUGGGGCGGUCUCCUCCUAAAGAGUAACGGAGGAGCACGAAGGUUGGCUAAUCCUGGUCGGACAUCAGGAGGUUAGUGCAAUGGCAUAAGCCAGCUUGACUGCGAGCGUGACGGCGCGAGCAGGUGCGAAAGCAGGUCAUAGUGAUCCGGUGGUUCUGAAUGGAAGGGCCAUCGCUCAACGGAUAAAAGGUACUCCGGGGAUAACAGGCUGAUACCGCCCAAGAGUUCAUAUCGACGGCGGUGUUUGGCACCUCGAUGUCGGCUCAUCACAUCCUGGGGCUGAAGUAGGUCCCAAGGGUAUGGCUGUUCGCCAUUUAAAGUGGUACGCGAGCUGGGUUUAGAACGUCGUGAGACAGU
rnacentral:rRNA from 1 species